AGCGGCGAACGGGUGAGGAAUACAUGGGUAACCUACCCUCGAGUGGGGAAUAACUAGCCGAAAGGUUAGCUAAUACCGCAUACGACUCCUGGUCUGCGGAUCGGGAGGGAAAGCGAUACCGUGGGUAUCGCGCUCUUGGAUGGGCUCAUGUCCUAUCAGCUUGUUGGUGAGGUAACGGCUCACCAAGGCUUCGACGGGUAGCUGGUCUGAGAGGACGAUCAGCCACACUGGCACUGCGACACGGGCCAGACUCCUACGGGAGGCAGCAGUAAGGAAUAUUGCGCAAUGGGCGACAGCCUGACGCAGCGACGCCGCGUGGGGGAUGAAGGUCUUCGGAUUGUAAACCCCUUUCGGCAGGGAAGAUGGAACGGGUAACCGUUCGGACGGUACCUGCAGAAGCAGCCACGGCUAACUUCGUGCCAGCAGCCGCGGUAAUACGAAGGUGGCAAGCG
rnacentral:rRNA from 1 species